UCAUGAACAACGCAAUUAAAACACGUUUACGAAAUCGAUGACUUAUUGGGGGAACGAGGACCUUGCUCCUCGGAACAAGUAGCUCCCAGGACAUUUUCCUAUCUCUUUUUCGACAAAACGGAGAACAAACCAUAUUUGAACAAUCUUGGGUGCGGCGCUUCCCUGUCCUCUUUUGGGCGGUGGGAAGGGUCGCAAUGAUUGAGCAAACAU
rnacentral:sRNA from 1 species